AAUAAAACAGUGUUCUGCAGCCAAACAAAGUGGUCGGAUGAAAUGAGAACAAAUGGCGCAGUUGGAGAAAAAGGCUAUCAAAACUAAUAUAUGAUGUUAGAAACAAAGGCCGUUGUUCCCUUUACCUUGGGAAUAUGUAGUGACUGGAACGGAAUAUACAGGUGCUUUCGAGUGCAGAUAUUUAUUGAAUCCCUACUGGUGGUCAGACCCUGUUCUGGGAACCAGGGUUGCAAUAGUGAACACAACAUACUAAAUGCCCUGUCCUUAUAAAGCCUGUAUGGAAACAAGAAAGAACAACAAUGAACAAGAUACACAGGUCUUUGGAGUCUAUGCCUGAAAUGACCACACUUAACCAAGAAUAGAUUUUUCCCUAAGAGUGUUUCCAAGAGACCAUCCUAAAUUUCAAACAAUAAACAUAAUGUUUAUGAAGCACCUAUCAGAAAUCAUGCUGGAAAUAUCCUGUAAAUAAAUCAUCUCUUUUGAUCUUCACAACAGUCCUACAA
rnacentral:lncRNA from 10 species